UAGGGAAUUUUCGGCAAUGGACGAAAGUCUGACCGAGCAACGCCGCGUGAGUGAAGAAGGUUUUCGGAUCGUAAAACUCUGUUGUUAGAGAAGAACAAGGACGUUAGUAACUGAACGUCCCCUGACGGUAUCUAACCAGAAAGCCACGGCUAACUACGUGCCAGCAGCCGCGGUAAUACGUAGGUGGCAAGCGUUGUCCGGAUUUAUUGGGCGUAAAGCGAGCGCAGGCGGUUUCUUAAGUCUGAUGUGAAAGCCCCCGGCUCAACCGGGGAGGGUCAUUGGAAACUGGGAGACUUGAGUGCAGAAGAGGAGAGUGGAAUUCCAUGUGUAGCGGUGAAAUGCGUAGAUAUAUGGAGGAACACCAGUGGCGAAGGCGGCUCUCUGGUCUGUAACUGACGCUGAGGCUCGAAAGCGUGGGGAGCAAACAGG
rnacentral:rRNA from 1 species